rnacentral:tRNA from 1 species
CCCUUGGUGGUCUAGUGGUUAGGACGAGGUGCUUUCACUGCUGUGACCCGGGUUCGAUUCCUGGUCUGGGAG